ensembl:processed_transcript
CAGUUUAGUCAAAGUCAAAGACUAUAUAAUAAGGGGAGAUUAAUUUAGGAAAGGAUUUGAACAAUUUCUGUGAUUGAAAGAUGCUUUGGAUGAACUAAGGAAUACCCGGUUCAUGGGAUUCUUUGUUUAUGAUUGUGAAUUGGACUAAUUUACCACGCUGGAAGGUGUUACAUGGAGCUUGUAAAGAAGGACAGUGUUUAUGUGAUCUACAACACACUUGUGAUUCGUUAUAGUUCAAGACUCACAACAAGAAAUCUGCUUCUUUAUGAUACAGAGAACAGAAAUUAGCAGUCAACUCCACUCUGUCUCUCAAGCCCGCCGAUGUACAUAUCAAGUUACCGUACAAACUGGUUACAGCAGAUAAACCUUCCACAUGCAGUCUGCCAAUCCAAUGAGCUCCUGCAGCCCUGGACCUUUACGGAUGAUGCGGAGACAGACCCAAGAGUCGCAUUUAGCCUCGCGGAAACGCUCAUGGCAAUGGCUCUAAAGCUAAUGCGGUGAAGGAAAAGCCUGACUGAAGAUUCAAUGCAGAAUCCUUGCCU